UACGUAGGGUGCAAGCGUUGUCCGGAAUUAUUGGGCGUAAAGAGCUCGUAGGCGGUUUGUCACGUCGGCUGUGAAACCCUGGGGCUCAACCCCCAGCCUGCAGUGGGUACGGGCAGACUAGAGUGCGGUAGGGGAGAUUGGAAUUCCUGGUGUAGCGGUGGAAUGCGCAGAUAUCAGGAGGAACACCGAGUGGCGAAGGCAGAUCUCUGGGCCGUAACUGACGCUGAGGAGCGAAAGCAUGGGGAGCGAACAGG
rnacentral:rRNA from 1 species